AUUGAACGCUGGCGGCAGGCUUAACACAUGCAAGUCGAGCGGAGAUGAAGUGCUUGCACCUUAUCUUAGCGGCGGACGGGUGAGUAAUGCUUAGGAAUCUGCCUAUUAGUGGGGGACAACAUUCCGAAAGGAAUGCUAAUACCGCAUACGUCCUACGGGAGAAAGCAGGGGAUCUUCGGACCUUGCGCUAAUAGAUGAGCCUAAGUCGGAUUAGCUAGUUGGUGGGGUAAAGGCCUACCAAGGCGACGAUCUGUAGCGGGUCUGAGAGGAUGAUCCGCCACACUGGGACUGGUACACGGCCCAGACUCCUACGGGAGGCAGCAGUGGGGAAUAUUGGACAAUGGGGGGAACCCUGAUCCAGCCAUGCCGCUUGUGUGAAGAAGGCCUUAUGGUUGUAAAGUACUUUAAGCGAGGAGGAGGCUACUGAGACUAAUACUCUUGGAUAGUGGACGUUACUCGCAGAAUAAGCACCGGCUAACUCUGUGCCAGCAGCCGCCGUAAGAC
rnacentral:rRNA from 1 species